GCACCCGUAGCUUAGCUGGAUAAAGCGUUUCCCUCCGAAGGAAGAGACCAGACGUUCGAAUCGUCUCGGGUGCACCA
rnacentral:tRNA from 1 species